rnacentral:lncRNA from 1 species
GCGCGCCGGGCGGGGGGCGGGCGUCCGGGCUGGCCUGCGGUGUUCUCCCGCCCCCGCCCCGGGCUGGCGCGCCCCGACGCAUCUCCUAGGGGCACCGGGGCUCUCCGCCGAGCUCCGGGCAGGUCCUGAGUUCCCUCGCGCAUGCAUGCAGCCAUUCGUUCCACAGCCAUGACUGGGCACCUACUGUGUGCCAGGCCCUCAGUGAUUUCAUGCCUAGGGAAGGCAAGAAGUCGGCGCCCAAAGAAACUUUGAAAUGAGGAGUCUUGCACGACGGGUGCGCGGUUGAGCUGAGGUCCCGCUGACUUCCAGUCCAGUGCUCGUCCCUUGGCACUAGUAAGCUUCCCUGGUUAAACCUCCCCAAGGCUCGUGGGACCCCUACCUGAUCUGUGCUCCUGCUUCCCACCUCCGUCUCAUCUCACACCUGCCUUCCUGCGGAUCCUAGAGCGCCUUUCUGUCCAUCAAACACUCGAACUUCACUAACCUCAGGACAUUGGCGCCCGCCUUUCCCUCUGUGGGACGUUCUUGCCCAGCUUUUCACGUGGCCGGCGCCUUCUCAUUGUACAUAGGUCCCCUCCUCAGAGAGGCCUUUCCUGACCACCUUCCUCGAUUAGCCCUCUGCUCCUGACCACUCCGUGUACUCUGUUUUCUUCAUAGCAUUUAACAGUGAUUUAUCCAUUUUCAGCAAAUAUUUAUUGAGCACCUAUUCUGGUUUUUCUCGCGUGGGGAACAAAUAGACAAAAAUUCUGUCCCCCAGUGGAGUUUGGGGAAAGAGGGACAGGUAACAGAUAAACAGCAAAUUAGCAAACUAUGCAUUAUAUUAGAAAGUGAUAAGUUCUAAGAGGAAAAAGAGCAGGGUCAGGAGAUUUGGGGCUGGAGGUAAGCAGUGAAUUUUCAGUGAAGCGGUCGGAUAGGGCCCUUGAGCUGAUGGACGGUCUGAUUGGGUGACACUGAGAAGGUGAUAGUGGUAUUUCAGCCACGCAGAUAAGCAGGGAAGAGCAUUCCUGGCCGAGGGAACAGCCAGUGCCAAGACCCAAAAGAGCGCCGGACCGCUUAGGGAACGGCAAGGAGGCAGAGGAGCAGAUGAGAAUUGUUUUGUUUUCCAUCUUGGCUGCCUCCAAAUUUUGCUGACCAAGUGCAAAGCCCAGGUUUCUUAACAAGCCAAGGCUCUACGACCAGGGCACAACAAUCCAUACCUUGCUUGAAGGAAACAGCUGGAGGUCAAGAACUCUCACUACUACUGGAAAUUCAUGUGGCUGAGGGAUGGAACAGAAGAGAGCUUUUGGAUAAGGAUAAAAGAAAAGGAAAAAUGGUUUUGGUGACCCAGGGAUCAGGAAUGAUGCCUCCCUGAUACAGGUGGUAACAGAAUGGCCAGAGAAGUGAGAUGGAGAAUUCCAACUGGUCAGCCCUCUGCUGGAAGUCACAUCCAUGAAAAGACAGUUAUCUGAAAACCUAUUCUUGCUUGGCUUACCAUUUCAUUGCCGAGAAACUGGAAACCUGUCCUGGGCCCAGGAGAACACUGUGCUCCGAAUUCCUGGUGACAUUUUAAGAACGGGGGAUGCUAUUCAGCCUGCCCAGUGAUCUGGUGCUUCUAGUGUUGCACGGAUGACACACCACAGGAUUUCCUCAACUGCGCCCUGGCGUCCUGCUAGGAUGUCUUUCUCAUUUUUUCCAUGGUACACACAGUCAUUGCAUCACAGUCCAAACGGACUGUCCAGCGAUGCCUUUGUAAACAUGAGUCACAUGUGAAGUUAAAGGAAUCUGUGUUCAGCCAGGGACAGCAGAGUUCCUAAGGCACAUCGUCUUCACAUAAGGGGUGCAGAUUGAUAAGGGUCAUAGGACUUCCUGCUGAGAUGCCCAAGCAGUGCUCCGGGACUCACUUUAUGCAGCAGCCACUGAGGCCUCCAUCCAUAACACUCUUCUUCAUCCCUAUGAAGUUCUCCAGCUAUCAUAUCAGAAAACAUUACUAUUUCCCCAUUUUUCACCUUCUUGGGUGUCUCUCAGUUGGGUCCUGAAUGUCACCCCCUGUCCAGCCUUGGUCAUCCCAGCCCAAGCACAGGCACAAACCUCUUUCUUGCUUCCCCUUGAAAAAUGAAGGUCACCUAUAUCAACCUCCCGAAACAACACAUUCGACUGUCUCUGCCUGUUGAAAUCCUGGUUAAGGUCCAUCUCAGAAACUGCCUCUUCCCCGAUUAUCUCCACUGGCUAUGAGCUCUCUAAUCCCUGCACCAGAGAGUAUUUGAUCUGUUU